rnacentral:rRNA from 2 species
UGAAGGCUGAGCUGUGAUGGGGAAGCUCCUUAUGGAGCGAAGUCUUUGAUUCCCCGCUGCCAAGAAAAGCUUCUAGCGAGAUAAAAGGUGCCUGUACCGCAAACCGACACAGGUAGGCGAGGAGAGAAUCCUAAGGUGUGCGAGAGAACUCUGGUUAAGGAACUCGGCAAAAUGACCCCGUAACUUCGGGAGAAGGGGUGCUUUCUUAACGGAAAGCCGCAGUGAAUAGGCCCAAGCGACUGUUUAGCAAAAACACAGGUCUCUGCGAAGCCGUAAGGCGAAGUAUAGGGGCUGACACCUGCCCGGUGCUGGAAGGUUAAGGAGAGGGGUUAGCGUAAGCGAAGCUCUGAACUGAAGCCCCAGUAAACGGCGGCCGUAACUAUAACGGUCCUAAGGUAGCGAAAUUCCUUGUCGGGUAAGUUCCGACCCGCACGAAAGGUGUAACGAUUUGGGCACUGUCUCAACCAGAGACUCGGUGAAAUUAUAGUACCUGUGAAGAUGCAGGUUACCCGCGACAGGACGGAAAGACCCCGUGGAGCUUUACUGUAGCCUGAUAUUGAAUUUUGGUACAGUUUGUACAGGAUAGGCGGGAGCCAUUGAAACCGGAGCGCUAGCUUCGGUGGAGGCGCUGGUGGGAUACCGCCCUGACUGUAUUGAAAUUCUAACCUACGGGUCUUAUCGACCCGGGAGACAGUGUCAGGUGGGCAGUUUGACUGGGGCGGUCGCCUCCUAAAGUGUAACGGAGGCGCCCAAAGGUUCCCUCAGAAUGGUUGGAAAUCAUUCGUAGAGUGCAAAGGCAUAAGGGAGCUUGACUGCGAGACCUACAAGUCGAGCAGGGACGAAAGUCGGGCUUAGUGAUCCGGUGGUUCCGCAUGGAAGGGCCAUCGCUCAACGGAUAAAAGCUACCCCGGGGAUAACAGGCUUAUCUCCCCCAAGAGUCCACAUCGACGGGGAGGUUUGGCACCUCGAUGUCGGCUCAUCGCAUCCUGGGGCUGUAGUCGGUCCCAAGGGUUGGGCUGUUCGCCCAUUAAAGCGGUACGCGAGCUGGGUUCAGAACGUCGUGAGACAGUUCGGUCCCUAUCCGUCGUGGGCGUAGGAAAUUUGAGAGGAGCUGUCCUUAGUACGAGAGGACCGGGAUGGACGCACCGCUGGUGUACCAGUUGUUCUGCCAAGGGCAUAGCUGGGUAGCUAUGUGCGGAAGGGAUAAGUGCUGAAAGCAUCUAAACAUGAAGCCCCCCUCAAGAUGAGAUUUCCCAUAGCGUAAGCUAGUAAGAUCCCUGAAAGAUGAUCAGGUUGAUAGGUUCGAGGUGGAAGCAUGGUGACAUGUGGAGCUGACGAAUACUAAUAGAUCGAGGACUUAACCAU